rnacentral:lncRNA from 1 species
UGAAGGGUCUGGACUAGGGGUGGCAAUUCAGCUCGCUAUUCGCAAGCCAGCUCGUGUUCGGCUCGAAAUGAGCUCGAAAUCGAAUCGCUCGUUUAGUAAACGAGCCGAGCACGAGCUCGGGUUAGCUCGCUCGUGUUCGACUCGAUAACAGCUCGAAUACAUAUAUUUUAUAUUUAUAUAAUUUAUUUAAUUUAUAUUUAUAUAUAUAAAUAAACAAUUAUAUAUAUAAUAUAUAUUUUUAUUAUUUAAUUUUUAGCAAAAUAAAAAUAUAAAGGCGAGCUCAAUAAUAAAAAGACUUAUUUAUAUGUAAAGUUUCAAAUAUUAGAUAAAGGAUAAGAUUUUAUAAAUUUAUUUUUUAUACAUAUUCAAUCUAAUCUUUUUAACUUAUUGUUCGUCGGCCAGCUCGUGAGCCAGCUCGUGUUUGGCUCGUUUAUUAACGAGCCGAACACGAGUUGAAUUUUUCAGCUCGAUAUUUUAAUGAGCCAGCUCGUGCUCGGCUCGUUGACACCCCUAGAUAGCUAAGACUAUCUAGUUAUAGUUGUUCGUUUGAGCAUUGCAAAAAAUGAAUGAGCCAGCUCAGCUCGUAUUCGGCUC